AGUGAACGCUGGCGGUAGGCCCAACACAUGCAAGUCGAACGGCAGCACAGUAAGAGCUUGCUCUUACGGGUGGCGAGUGGCGGACGGGUGAGGAAUACAUCGGAAUCUACUUUUUCGUGGGGGAUAACGUAGGGAAACUUACGCUAAUACCGCAUACGACCUACGGGUGAAAGCAGGGGAUCUUCGGGCCUUGCGCGAUUGAAUGAGCCGAUGUCGGAUUAGCUAGUUGGCGGGGUAAAGGCCCACCAAGGCGACGAUCCGUAGCUGGUCUGAGAGGAUGAUCAGCCACACUGGAACUGAGACACGGUCCAGACUCCUACGGGAGGCAGCAGUGGGGAAUAUUGGACAAUGGGCGCAAGCCUGAUCCAGCCAUGCCGCGUGGGUGAAGAAGGCCUUCGGGUUGUAAAGCCCUUUUGUUGGGAAAGAAAAGCAGCAGGUUAAUACCCCGCUGUUCUGACGGUACCCAAAGAAUAAGCACCGGCUAACUUCGUG
rnacentral:rRNA from 1 species